rnacentral:tRNA from 1 species
AAUCGUUAUUGGUAGACGCUGCGGACUUAAAUCCGUUGGCUUUAAAGACCGUGAGGGUUCAAUUCCCUCUACCCCCA